rnacentral:rRNA from 1 species
CUUCGAAUAUUUAUAUUGAUUCAAAUGUAAUGAUUAGAGUUUAAAAAAAUUUAAGAAAUCGAUUGGAGGGCAAGUCUGGUGCCAGCAGCCGCGGUAAUUCCAGCUCCAAUAGUGUAUAUUAAAGUUGUUGUGUUUAAAAAGCUCGUAGUCGAAUUAUAAGUUUUUUAUGUUAGUUAAAAAAACUAAUAUAAAAAAAGGAGAAAGGAGCUA